rnacentral:rRNA from 1 species
GUAGAACGCUGAAGGAGGAGCUUGCUCUUCUGGAUGAGUUGCGAACGGGUGAGUAACGCGUAGGUAACCUGCCUGGUAGCGGGGGAUAACUAUUGGAAACGAUAGCUAAUACCGCAUAAGAGUAGAUGUUGCAUGACAUUUACUUAAAAGGUGCAAUUGCAUCACUACCAGAUGGACCUGCGUUGUAUUAGCUAGUUGGUGGGGUAACGGCUCACCAAGGCGACGAUACAUAGCCGACCUGAGAGGGUGAUCGGCCACACUGGGACUGAGACACGGCCCAGACUCCUACGGGAGGCAGCAGUAGGGAAUCUUCGGCAAUGGACGGAAGUCUGACCGAGCAACGCCGCGUGAGUGAAGAAGGUUUUCGGAUCGUAAAGCUCUGUUGUAAGAGAAGAACGAGUGUGAGAGUGGAAAGUUCACACUGUGACGGUAUCUUACCAGAAAGGGACGGCUAACUACGUGCCAGCAGCCGCGGUAAUACGUAGGUCCCGAGCGUUGUCCGGAUUUAUUGGGCGUAAAGCGAGCGCAGGCGGUUAGAUAAGUCUGAAGUUAAAGGCUGUGGCUUAACCAUAGUACGCUUUGGAAACUGUUUAACUUGAGUGCAAGAGGGGAGAGUGGAAUUCCAUGUGUAGCGGUGAAAUGCGUAGGUAUAUGGAGGAACACCGGUGGCGAAAGCGGCUCUCUGGCUUGUAACUGACGCUGAGGCUCGAAAGCGUGGGGAG